CCUACGGGAGGCAGCAGUCGGGAAUUUUGGGCAAUGGGCGAAAGCCUGACCCAGCAACGCCGCGUGAAGGAUGAAAUCCCUCGGGAUGUAAACUUCGCAAGAUUGGGAAGAAUUAGUAGGGGUUAAUACCCCCUAUGAUGACGGUACCUUUUGUAAGCUCCGGCUAACUCCGUGCCACCAGCCGCGGUAAUACGGGGGGAGCAAGCGUUGUUCGGAUUUACUGGGCGUAAAGGGUGCGUAGGCGGUCAGCACAAGUCAGUUGUGAAAUCUCCGGGCUUAACUCGGAAAGGUCAACUGAUACUGUGCGACUAGAGUGCAGAAGGGGCAACUGGAAUUCUCGGUGUAGCGGUGAAAUGCGUAGAUAUCGAGAGGAACACCUGCGGCGAAGGCGGGUUGCUGGGCUGACACUGACGCUGAGGCGCGAAAGCCAGGGGAGCGAACGGGAUUAGAUACCCUGGUAGUCCUGGCCUUAAACGAUGGAUGCUUGGUGUUUGGAGUUAUAUAGUCUCCGGGUGCCGUAGCUAACGCGUUAAGCAUCCCGCCUGGGGAGUACGGUCGCAAGACUGAAACUCAAAGGAAUUGACGG
rnacentral:rRNA from 1 species